UACGUAGGGGGCAAGCGUUGUCCGGAAUCAUUGGGCGUAAAGAGCGCGUAGGCGGUCCGGUAAGUCCGCUCUGAAAGCCCGGGGGCUCAACCCCCGGGAGGCGGGCGGAUACUGUCGGGCUAGAGUCCGGAAGAGGCGAGUGGAAUUCCUGGUGUAGCGGUGAAAUGCGCAGAUAUCAGGAGGAACACCGAUGGCGAAGGCAGCUCGCUGGGACGGUACUGACGCUGGAGGCGCGAAAGCGUGGGGAGCAAACAGG
rnacentral:rRNA from 1 species